AUUGAACGCUGGCGGCAUGCCUUACACAUGCAAGUCGAACGGCAGCACGGGAGCAAUCCUGGUGGCGAGUGGCGAACGGGUGAGUAAUAUAUCGAAACGUGCCCAGUCGUGGGGAUAACGUAGCGAAAGCUACGCUAAUACCGCAUACGAUCUAUGGAUGAAAGCGGGGGAUCGCAAGACCUCGCGCGAUUGGAGCGGCCGAUAUCAGAUUAGGUAGUUGGUGAGGUAAAGGCUCACCAAGCCGACGAUCUGUAGCUGGUCUGAGAGGACGACCAGCCACACUGGAACUGAGACACGGUCCAGACUCCUACGGAGGCAGCAGUGGGGAAUUUUGGGACAAUGGACGCAAGUCUGAUCCAGCCG
rnacentral:rRNA from 1 species